rnacentral:rRNA from 1 species
GUGCAGCAGGCGCGAAACCUCCGCAAUACACGAAAGUGUGACGGGGUCAUCCCGAGUGCCGUCCGCUGAGGACGGCUUUUCCCCAGUGUACACAGCUGGGGGAAUAAGGAGAGGGCAAGCCUGGUGUCAGCCGCCGCGGUAAUACCAGCUCUCCGAGUGGUGGGGACGCUUAUUGGGCCUAAAGCAUCCGUAGCCGGCUGGGCAAGUCCUCCGUUAAAUCCAACGAUUCAAUCGUUGGGCUGCGGGGGAUACUGUCCAGCUUGGGGGCGGGAGAGGCCGACGGUAUUCCCGGGGUAGGGGUGAAAUCCUAUAAUCCCGGGAGGACCACCAGUGGCGAAGGCUGUCGGCUAGAACGCGCCCGACGGUGAGGGAUGAAAGCUGGGGGAGCGAACCGGAUUAGAUACCCCGGUA